AAUAUGUAUCUGCUUUGAUAAUUGUAGUUAAGUAAUUAAUUCAUUUGUUGUUACAUUGAAUUAUUUGUUUAUUUUCUUAAACCUUCAUUCAUACCGUGAUCAUUUUGCUUUUUGAACAAAGGCUUGUUGUUUGCAUGAUACACUUUUCACAAAUUAAUGCUACUUGGCGUUUUGCCAAUUUAUUUACUGCAAUAAAAAUUUAAAAUGCUUUUGAACUUUUUGUUAUCAACAUAUCCAAAACCAAUGGCUGUCGAAGUACUUUAAUUGAGAUUAGGAGUAUGUUUAUGUUCAAUUUGAUAUAUUUGUUACAGGUCUUCCCACUGUUCAAAUAUAUUAAACUGACUAUUAAACAUCUCUUAAUCUCAAUUAAAGUAAUCGGUCACCAAUAAUAGUAAGGACACAAACCUUCAAAACAAGUAGCAGGGACGCAUACUCGCAAGCAGAUUUAAAACGCAACUGUGCCUUUGCGUUAAUAGAUGGCAGAAGGUUAACGCGGGUCCAACAAAGUGCGAGAGAGUGGGCUAUCUAUACUUGUCUUUGUCUAUGAGCGGUACUCUGUAAUCUGUGGUAGCAAUUAGCAUGCACAUGGAAGUAAGGUGUAAAUUAAUAAGAUGCCCAUGCCAGCAAGCAGCUAGCAUGGAGAGAAUGCAAUGCUAUGGCGUACGGAUGCCGGAGCUGACAAAUUCUUAGAGAGGACUACAAGUUUUAAAGGAUAACUCCCGAGAACUCGUAGUACCAAAAAGGGGGUUUUUUAGUUGGUAAGAAUCCAACACUACCCAGGGUUCGGAACACUGGGUGUCUUCGCGAAGAUUUUUAUUUCUCCAGCCGCCGGGCAAACCAAAAAAAAAACCUUUCUUAUUUUACUUUCUCUAUGCUGUCAACAGCAGUUGCAUAGUUGCAUUUUAUUGCUUGCAGAACGCGUGUAGUAACUUGAUUUUGCUAGUGAUUUUGUGGUUGUUUUAUAGUAAUAGUGGAAGGAAGUGAAUCAAUAAUUUUGAACAACGAUGAUGCCUAGACAUUAUUAUAAAAAGUGUGUAUUUUGAUGAUGCGAAAAUCGUAACGGGAAUCCGGAUAUGAGGUUCCACAUGCUUCCUCAUGGUGCGAUUAUGUUUCAACACUGAAUGGAGGUUGCUAUUCCCAAAAGUUUUAUAGCUCCUUCUAACAUUUGCAUGCCACCGGCUAAUGAUUCGGUGACACAUCCUAGGGUAGGGUAGGGUUACUUUUUAUGACAGAAAAAAACGUUUAUAAUAACAAAAAACUUAUCAGAUAUAGAAACUUCUCAUUAUGAUUUAUAGCGUGCCCUUAUUUUCUUUCGUAUUUCUGUUCUUGUAAAUAUGUAUAAUUUUUAAUGUAUUUUCGUAUUUCUGUUAUUAUAAAUACCAUUUAUGACUGUGUUUUUCUUGUUUCUGCUAUAAUAAAUACUUUUAUCAUUUA